rnacentral:rRNA from 1 species
UUGGACAACAACAUAAAACGGUGAACACGGAGCUUGCUCUGUGGGAUCAGUGGCGAACGGGUGAGUAACACGUGAGCAACCUGCCCCUGACUCUGGGAUAAGCGCUGGAAACGGCGUCUAAUACUGGAUAUGUGACGUGACCGCAUGGUCUGCGUCUGGAAAGAAUUUCGGUUGGGGAUGGGCUCGCGGCCUAUCAGCUUGUUGGUGAGGUAAUGGCUCACCAAGGCGUCGACGGGUAGCCGGCCUGAGAGGGUGACCGGCCACACUGGGACUGAGACACGGCCCAGACUCCUACGGGAGGCAGCAGUGGGGAAUAUUGCACAAUGGGCGCAAGCCUGAUGCAGCAACGCCGCGUGAGGGACGACGGCCUUCGGGUUGUAAACCUCUUUUAGCAGGGAAGAAGCGAAAGUGACGGUACCUGCAGAAAAAGCGCCGGCUAACUACGUGCCAGCAGCCGCGGUAAUACGUAGGGCGCAAGCGUUAUCCGGAAUUAUUGGGCGUAAAGAGCUCGUAGGCGGUUUGUCGCGUCUGCUGUGAAAUCCGGAGGCUCAACCUCCGGCCUGCAGUGGGUACGGGCAGACUAGAGUGCGGUAGGGGAGAUUGGAAUUCCUGGUGUAGCGGUGGAAUGCGCAGAUAUCAGGAGGAACACCGAUGGCGAAGGCAGAUCUCUGGGCCGUAACUGACGCUGAGGAGCGAAAGGGUGGGGAGCAAACAGGCUUAGAUACCCUGGUAGUCCACCCCGUAAACGUUGGGAACUAGUUGUGGGGUCCAUUCCACGGAUUCCGUGACGCAGCUAACGCAUUAAGUUCCCCGCCUGGGGAGUACGGCCGCAAGGCUAAAACUCAAAGGAAUUGACGGGGACCCGCACAAGCGGCGGAGCAUGCGGAUUA